GGCCAUCUUGCUAAUAUUGCAUUAAAAGUCUACAGUUGUGUAGGUCAAGUUCAUUGGAAUCACAUCCAGGUUUAAUACAAUUAUCUACAAUUUAAUCUGGCAAAAAGAUACGGACAUUUUCUAUAUGUAUACAAGGAGUCAUUUAAUUGUAAAAACACACAGUAAUGAUUUCCGGAAGAGAUAACAUAAAUGUAAAUAUCAUGAUACAUUGUAUCUGAUUGUUGGUCUCCAUGGACCUAAU